rnacentral:lncRNA from 1 species
AUAUGAAGUUUUAUUAAAAGAAAAAAGGGUGAAAAGAACAAAGUUUUGUCCAUCUUUGUUCAUCAUAGCUGAAAGUUAGAGAAGAGAAAGGAGAGGAGAAAGCUCUUGAGUAUUCUGUCAUUAGGAGGAGGAAAAUUGAAGGUAAGUUCUUGGUACCUUGCUUCUAUUUUGAGGUUCAUGAGUUCUUCUUGAUUCUACCUUAACUCUUGAAGUAUAUUUUGAUUUUUAGUUGUGUUGUGAGCAUUUGGUCAUGAAUUAAAAUGAAGGAAAUGGUUGUUGUUUCAUGUUCUUUAGAUGAAAAAUGGAAGAUAGGUGAAGUUGAGCCAAACAAAUGAACAUGAAUGUGCCUUAGAUGCUAAAGGGAAAAAUCGGCUAACAUGUUAUGCUUUAAAAUGAUGAAAUGGAGAUUAUACUUAAGUAAAAUCAUAGAUAUGUGUUGACUGAUCGGUGAUAUACAUGUUUAAAUAACAAGCAUGCAAGUUAGGUGUGAAAGAGUGAUUUGGUAAUAAAUCUGCUUGGGACAGCAGCAGUAACGUGACUUUGGGAAAUCACCAUAAAUUGUGGGAGAUGAAUUAGAAGCUGAAUAAAUUAUGUAAUUAAAGCUUAUUGAGUCUAGUUUCUAAUGAAAUAAACAAGAACAUAUUUUGAAUUUUGUACAAUGAGAAAUUUGAUUCGUAAUGAAGAGUGGUCAGAUUAGUCAAACAGUGAAACAUGGGAAACUUUGAGAAAAAUCUGGUAUUGAUUUGCUAAACCAAAAAUUCUGAAAAUUUUAUGGAUAGAAGAUAUAUGAGUCUAUUUUCAGAGAAAAUUAACGGAACUUGAUUUGGAGUUUCGUAGCUCCAGUUAUAAAUGAUUUAGUGACUGUUGCUCAGGAAGACAGCUUGCAGUGAAAUUAUGAUUAUGUGGUAAACAUUGACAAAAAUUUGUUAAUGAGUUGCUUAUUGAUUUCUUAUAAGCUUACUAUGAUCUGUAGGUGUGGUUGGCCGAAUAUUGUAAGGGGUUAAUAUGUAGUUCGUAUUUGAAUAGUUAGAUUAACGUGUUAGUAAUCCAAUUGUAGGCGGUUCGUGUGUGGAUCUCGUCAGCAUAUCGUCGCAAACAGGUGUGUAACUGACACCCUCUCAUAGACUAGAUUGGCAAAAGCCGAAAAGCCGAAAUGCCGAAAAGUCGGUAUUUUGGGAAUUUGCGAGUGUGCGAAUGCUCGUAAGAUAGUUGGGUUUGUAUAUUUGGUAAUCUAAAGUAAUAAACUGCAGUACGCGCGAUUUCGUAGAUUUUGAUAAUUUGGGCUUAAUGGGCCAAAAAUUGGGUUCAUGGGCCAACGGGCCCAAUUCGGUAAGUAUGCGCGGUAAGUGUUCUGAUAGUACGUAAAUAGUUAGGAUAUGCAUGAAAACCCUAAAAGUAGCUAAAUUACUAUAAUACCCUUAUGUAUGGAAAAAUACUGUUAUACCCCCUAGGUGCAAAAUUACCGUUAUACCCCUAGGGUUAAUUUUGACUGAAAAGCAUGACGAUCUGAUUCUGUAUGAUGUAUGCCAUGAUUAUAUAUCUGUUGCAUGGGGACAUGGGUUAUAUUAUGGAGGAAGCGUCCUGGUGGCUAUGCCACGAUUAUCUGAUCUGGUGGCUCUGCCACAUAUAUCUGUUCUGGUGGCUCUGCCACGAUUAUCUGUAUCUGGUGACUCUGUCACAUUAUCUGUUCUGGCAGCCAUGCUGAAAAUUUUGUGGUGUGUAGCGGUUGGGUGGGUCGAGUUGUCUCCCCACACGGUGUAAGGUUGGUAUGGGGGUGUAUACGGUUGGAUAUGGUUGGGUUUCUGCAUAAACAUGUAAUAUCUAUUCUGUUCUGCUAUGGGCCUAUGGGCUUUAUUCUGAAUUCUGUUCUGGGCUAAGGCCAACUUAUUCUAUUUCUGUGGUUUGAGCUAAUAUAGGCUAUGGUUGGGUUAAUUUACACACUGAGUUUCCCUAAACUCACCCCUUUUAUUUUCAUCCACGCAGGAAAUCCCCAACCAUAGUGGGCUUGGAGCUGUGAGGGAAUUCGGAGUGGCCACCCGUUCUGAAAGUUUGAUUUUCUUCUGGUGAACUGGACAUCCUUUUAAUUACGUUUGAGGUUUUGGGCUUUUAAAUGUAAUAAGGCCGCUUAUUUAUUUUUGAUGGUUUUUAAUAUGUAUUACUAAGAUAGGUAAUACUUAUUUUAACUGUUGAAAUUGGAUAGCUUUAGGGCUCGUUUUCAAAAACAACAGUUGAUUUCAAAAUAACACGACAACAAGCAAAGCUUCCGCAAUGAAAGUAUUUUCCAAAAUUAAUCACUUUUCCUAAAAAUGACUUAAU